rnacentral:rRNA from 1 species
GAUGAACGCUGGCGGCGUGCCUAAUACAUGCAAGUCGAGCGAACAGACGAGGAGCUUGCUCCUCUGACGUUAGCGGCGGACGGGUGAGUAACACGUGGAUAACCUACCUAUAAGACUGGGAUAACUUCGGGAAACCGGAGCUAAUACCGGAUAAUAUAUUGAACCGCAUGGUUCAAUAGUGAAAGACGGUUUUGCUGUCACUUAUAGAUGGAUCCGCGCCGCAUUAGCUAGUUGGUAAGGUAACGGCUUACCAAGGCAACGAUGCGUAGCCGACCUGAGAGGGUGAUCGGACACACUGGAACUGAGACACGGUCCAGACUCCUACGGGAGGCAGCAGUAGGGAAUCUUCCGCAAUGGGCGAAAGCUUGACGGAGCAACGCCGCGUGAGUGAUGAAGGUCUUCGGAUCGUAAAACUCUGUUAUUAGGGAAGAACAAAUGUGUAAGUAACUAUGAACGUCUUGACGGUACCUAAUCAGAAAGCCACGGCUAACUACGUG